GAAUUAAGCCUUGUGCAAGUCAGAGGCGAUAUAGUUGGACUCGGUUCUGUUGCCUAAAACCCUAAACCCUAAACCCUGCCGCCGUGAAACCCAAACUUCCUUCUCCUUCGAAUCAUUUUUCACAUCAUCAUUUCCGUUCUGUUCAAUAAUUCAAUAAUGGCUUCAGCUUGCAACAGAUUCGUGAGUAGAACAUCCCUAUCGUCCAUCAAAUCCGCCAUCAGAUCCAACGUCCGUACGUCUCCAAGCUUCACCAAAUCCGCCACUUCCACCUCCACUUCCAUUCCUCUUCGCCGAUUCUCACUCUCCCGAAUUCCAGUGGAAUUAGGAGGCGUACAGUCACUGUUGCCACUUCACAGUACGGUGGCGACGGCGAGAAUGACGUCGUGCCUGAGCACAACAUCGAGGAGUUGCCGAGCGCUUUCACAGGGCACAUAACUUGACUGUGGUUGAAAGAAAUAAAUUGGGAAUUUGCAGGACCUGCCAAUAAUCAAAGCUUGGUCAGUCGGUUCCAAGGUGACUAUAUAGCAGUCCACCACGACGAGAGCUUGUCUACACAGGAAUGGAAAAUCUUUCAGCAAGAUUUUGUAGUUUUUGUUUUCAAGGUUCAGUUAUUUUAAAGGAUACUGCUUGAGCCUUAAAGCAGUGAAACUGAAUUUGAUUCUUCCCAGCACAGAGAUAUUUGUUCUGUAGCUAUUCAUUAUGUUUAAUUGUCAAGUCUGUAUCUCCAGAUGACACACCCUUGCUUUCCCUGUCUGCAUCAUUUUGUAUUCUUCUGUCCUGGUUCUUGCUUUUUACUUGCAAACUUGUUGCAAUUCCUUUGGAUCCCCAAAGCCAAGAAAUACGGUCCUAAGCCAGCGUGAUGAUAUUUGAUGUUAA